AUACGUAGGGUGCGAGCGUUAAUCGGAAUUACUGGGCGUAAAGCGAGCGCAGACGGUUACUUAAGCAGGAUGUGAAAUCCCCGGGCUCAACCUGGGAACUGCGUUCUGAACUGGGUGACUAGAGUGUGUCAGAGGGAGGUAGAAUUCCACGUGUAGCAGUGAAAUGCGUAGAGAUGUGGAGGAAUACCGAUGGCGAAGGCAGCCUCCUGGGAUAACACUGACGUUCAUGCUCGAAAGCGUGGGUAGCAAACAGGAUUAGAUACCCUGGUAGUCCACGCCCUAAACGAUGUCAAUUAGCUGUUGGGCAACUUGAUUGCUUAGUAGCGUAGCUAACGCGUGAAAUUGACCGCCUGGGGAGUACGGUCGCAAGAUUAAA
rnacentral:rRNA from 1 species